AUUUCUCACAAUAUAUUCCCAGGUUCAAAGGACACCGGUAUGUUACACACAUCUAUGAUAUGCAUUAUCUUAUUGUAUUGCAUUAGCAGAUAGGAUUAAAAUACACCAAAAUACUAGUGAAACUGACUUGGUGUCAAAAUAUAUAUUUUUUCAGCCUCACUUUAAUAUUUUACAUUUUCAAUAAGCUCUUCAAAUGAUUCAAAAAUGUUGAAAAAUAUUUUAAUAUUUUUUAAUGUUUCUAUAUUUUUUUAUGUAUAAUAUAUUUUUGAUAUUUUAAAAUUUAACCAUUUGAAAAACUUAUCUGGAAAUAUUAAAUAAUUUGAAUAAUGAUUUUUCAAAAGAUAAAAUCGAGGCUUCUAUUAGGUGAUGCGCCUGUGCACAUAGAUUAUGUAUCCGCCCCCAAAAAAUCCCCAACAAAAACAAACUUAAAAAGAACAUAGACAAACUAUGGGCAGAACACCUGCACAAACUGGGGAAAAGCAGUCAGUAUUUCAUUACUGUGAAAUUAUAUAAAGUUUUUUGUAUAAUACUUAUUUUCUCAAACCUCGUUCAGCUUACGGUCUUAUCGUAUGGCUAAUGAAGUUUUGUUAAAUAUUAUUUUACAGGUAAAAAACAACAUUGCAACGGGCACAGAGAGACCACGAGCAGAGCACAUGCACAGACUGGUAAGAUGCAGUCAGUAUUCAUUCCUUGUUCAUAAACUAUAAUUAUUUUUAUUGAAUAUUCGUUCGAUUUUCUUCCGUGGGAUAUUGCAGAAAGAUAAGUACUUUUAUAUUUCAUUUUUAAAUUUUUUUUAUAUAUAUAUAUAUAUUUAUACUUUUAUCUAGCAGAGAAAGAGAGGCAGAGAGGUUGAUGUACACAUAAAUUAUAUAAGUGUAUGAAAAUAAAGAAUCAUUUAAAAAAUCUCCCCGUCUUUAUAUUUAUUUAUUUAUUACAUAUAAAUUGUAAUUAGAAAGCUAUUACAGAAUGUUUGUAAAGUAAGAAAAAUAAUUCUUCAUGUUCCCCUAAGGUAUUUAAAGCCAGCUGCUUUAUGUAGAAAAGAUCAAAAACAUCCACUUCCUCUACUUUUUUGAGAGCUAUGCAACUUUUUUUUUUUUUUUUUUUUAAUAUCCUCUGAUCUGUACAUUAAUUAUUUCAUAGGAUUCGCUUCCUGGAUACCAUCAACCGGAGUCUAACACACUAUCGACAAUAUAUGAGCUCGCGGGUCACUGUGAGCGUAAUGGAAACCUCACCUAGGAUUCAAAGUAUCAGAACUUACUAUAUAAAUACAUCUGUCUACAACCUGCUGAUGUGUAGAAAUGAGAGCACUUUAUUUAUAUGGGUUAACUUUGAGCGGAGUUUGUACAAUUUUACAUAAUUGUAGUAUAUACCAUUGAUUCACUUAAAAGUUUAGAAAUUGUUUUACAGAGAUAAUAAUGUCGCAGGUAUUUGGAAGCCCAAUGUAUUUGGAUGCCAAGUUUAUUUGUAUAAAAUACCUGCCCUUUUCAGGUCCCUACCUCCAUUACUGUGCCAAUUUGAAAUAUCUCUUAUUAUAUAGCCAAAAAUGAAGAUUAUCAUUUAUCUUCACAAAUGAAGUUUAUGACUAGUUUAGUUGUUGUUUUAUAUUGCUGUGUUGGUCUGCCAGCCUCCUCCCCCAAAUUAACAAAAAAUAAAUAUAUAAAACUAAAACUCUCCUUGAUAGAGCAACAAGGCCAAGUUCUCGCCGAAGCACAAGCCUUCUCAGCUGACAUCACUCCCCCUAUUUGGAGAAGGAGGUUAAGUAGGAUGGGCUAAGGGAAGGACAUGGGUGGCAUGAGGCGGCAUGAUGUGUCUGCGGGCUUUAGACACCAAAUAUGCACAGGACUCGCAUUGGCGACCCAAAACUCCUUCUCUGGGCUGGUUAAUGACAUCCCAACGAUGCAGCCGGAGGUAGCAGCAGAAGAGUUAAACUCAAUGUGCCACAUUUCAUUAAAGCACUGCAUAUUCAGACUCCAUGCACCGUGAACACUUCAAAUCAGUGACGUGGUCAUGGUGCUUGGAUUGACCCGUUACGUUUUUGAUAAACAUUCUCCUUUUUAUUUUAAUAAAUUUCCAAGAUGUACACCCUAAUAUAUAUAUAUAUGCAUAUAUAUAAUGUUUUGUCUGUUAAAUAUAUUUUAUUCUAAACAAUAGAG